UACAGAGGGGGCAAGCGUUAUUCGGAAUUAUUGGGCGUAAAGGGCGCGUAGGCGGCUUGGCAAGUGGAUGGUGAAAUCCCUCGGCUUAACCGAGGAACUGCCCUCCAAACUGUCUGGCUUGAGACCGGGAGAGGUGAGUGGAAUUCCCAGUGUAGCGGUGAAAUGCGUAGAUAUUGGGAGGAACACCAGUGGCGAAGGCGGCUCACUGGACCGGUACUGACGCUGAUGCGCGAAAGCGUGGGGAGCAAACGGG
rnacentral:rRNA from 1 species